rnacentral:tRNA from 1 species
GCAUUGGUGUUUUAGCCGUAGAAUUCUUGCCUUGCAUGUGGGAGACCUGAGUUCAAUUCUUGGCCAAUGCA